GACUGAAAUAACAGAGACCAGGCUGGUGCUACAUGGUGACACAAGACUGGAAAUAGUCCAGGUUUGGGAAAUAUUCACAAGUGCACCCCAGGCCCGAUUUUGAAACAUCUUUUGAGACAUCCAAGUGGAUAUGUCAAAGAAAGACAUUAGACAAUGAAAGAGGCUUUCCCACUCCCAGUGCAAGUGACCUCCUCAUCCCCAGUAGAAGCAACCUUACUGGGUGUGGGAUAGUGGCUUCUCUAAUCUCAUCUUCAGAAAGUAACCCCUCAUUGCCCAAGGAAACUGUAAUGGCCUCCUCUGAGGCAGUUGCCAUGGAAGACAAUACUGAUUCUCCUCAGGACCUAUCUCGACUACUUCUCCUUGAUUCUUGACCUACAACUAGACUCAAGUCACAAAAGGCCCCUACAGACACUUCCAGAACUGAAAGAGGAGGAAACCAAACUUAGGCUUUUCUUGUUGUUAUCUGAUUCCACUCAAUCUUGCCUAAGAAGAUCAGUUAUUCUUCAUAUCUGUUCUACAUAUAUCUAUGUUAUAUACCAGAUACUACUUGUAAAGCACACAAAGAAAAUUCCUGAAUUGUUGCCUAAGGAUGCUCAGAAGUAACUUGUGAAAUAAACAAAUGAGCUGUACCACCAAAGGUAACAGGAGGAACUGAGCAAUGUGGACUGCCUGGUCCCCUCCUCAGUCAAAGGCAUGUAGCUCCAUGAAGUAAGGUGGCUACACUGGAGCAAAUCCCAUCCAUACUGAGUCCAGAAAAAGGAAAAAAGGAAAGACUAAAAGAUUCUCCUAUGUUUGUAGAGAAACUGAGCAUUAAGGAAAAAGAAAAAAAGCUGCUAUGUUGCAAGAUUAAACAAGGAAAACCAAGUUCUAAUGUGGACACAGAAAUGUCUUGGUAGGGAAACGAAAUGAAGAGUGAGGGGCAUCACCAAAGCGCAUUUUUCUGGAUUAGAAGAAGCAAAAACAAAUGCAAUGCCUGUUUCUUAAGCAUGUGUCUUGUGCCAAGUGCUCCACGUGGUUCCUCUCAUUUCAUCCUCCACACAGUACUGUGAAAUAUGAAUCUGAGUUAGUAUCCCCAUUCUGCAGAUGAAGAAAUGAGGUGUUUCUAAGGACACACAGCUAAUAAACAGAUGGUUACAGAUUCAAGCCAACUGUUGAGCUCCAGAGCCUAUGGAUUUAAGCACCACACACUGUCUCCGCAACCCUACUUCUAAAUUCUCAGAGCCAGGCCCAGUGAUCCAUCUCUUGCAGCACAGCUACCUCCAAAUUAUAUUUCCAUGUACUUCCCAAACACAUACAUGAAUAGUCUGAAACUACUUCUUUUGGAAAAUGCCCAAAAAGACCUCAUUAUCUUCUAUGCAGGAAUGUACACCUCUCCCUGCAUUCUACAGUUCAAUGAAGGUAUUAUCUUUCUCCCAGUAAACGAUCUUUAACCAAGGGAAUAUCUCUCAAUACAAAAGCAGUUGCUAAAUCUUGUCUGGCCUUCUUUUGAGAUAUUUCAAAUGAUUCUGAAGUCACUUUCUAUUAUAGCUGGCCUAUCCCUGUUCUCUCCUCCUGCAAGCCACUACCCACCUGCCUCACACUGCCAGUGGGGGUAUUUUCCUUUGACACCAAUGAUGGAAACCCUAGUGAUAAGUCAGUUAAGCCUACAGACUCCAGAAUCAAAUAACCAGUUUUCAAAUCCAAGUUUCUGCAUUUAACAACUAUGUGACUUCAGCAGUAACUGAAAUUUCCUUAGUUUCAGUUCCUAAAACAUAUUAAAUUGGAAUAAUGAUAGUAGCUAUUCCAUAAAGUCAUUGGAAAAACUAAAUGAGACACUUCAGCUUGAGACAUAGAAGAUGGCCCCUGUGAAAUGUUAUCAAGAUCUUUGAAGUUAAUGAUGGUGUUUCUUCCCUGAUCAAAAGCCUGCUGACUCCAUUUUGCUUACAAAAUGAAGUUGGAAAAAAUAUUCAUCAUGAUAUUCAAAUCCCAAAAGAAAAUUGCCUUAAUCUACCGAUCUACCCUUCUUCCCUUGUAUCCAAGCUCUCCUAUACUCUAACCAGAGACCACUCACGACUCUACCCAUUCAUUCCUCUUCCACACCUUUGCUCAAGGUGUUUCUUGUCCCUGGAACAGCCUUCACACACAUCAGUGAUGAAAUCUGACCCUUGUGCCUAAACAGCACCUUAUCUGUGAGGCAUUUGAAUACCCACUUCUUCCAAACACCCCGAUGGCCUCUCACGGGGCUCUAUUUGACCUGUGUCUGCGUCUCUAGAUUGCAGGUAGCCUUGUUGACUGCCCUCUAUCCCCCAUGACCAUUUUUUUGCAGUAUUAUACUGUACUGGCUAUAAAGAAAAUGCUCAUUCUGCACCUUUCCAUCCUCAACUCUCCUGUGCCAGGCAUGUCUUACUCUAUACCCAUAGUCACUCCCACCACUACACUUUUCCCUGUGAACAGGAGCAUUGGGAGUGAUUCUCCAACUCUCCCCUAAAGUCAAGCAUCUUCCUUCUCAAAUACACCUGGCCAACACUGACCCAUGCCUUAGAAGGUGGCACAGCCAGUACCAGCAUAGGAUGACAAAGGACUUGCACCAGCCCUAAUCAAGACUAAGUUAUCUAAUAGGGAUUUUCCCCAUCCACACAGUAAGUUCUUAAGAAGUGAGAUUAAAAUAUAACAGUAAUUCUCAAAUCUGUCUCCACAUUGAAAUCACUCGGGAAGCUGUAUUCGUUUCCCAGGCUUCCAUCACAAUGUACUAUGAACUGGAUGGCUUAAAACAACAGAAAUUCAGUGUCUCAACAUUCUGGAGGGUAGAAGUCUGAAAUCAAGAUGUCAGCAAGGCCAUGGCUCCCUCUGAAACCUUUAGGAGGGGGUCCUUCCUUGCCUGCUCCCAGCUUCUCGUGGUUUGCCAGCAAUCGUGUACAUUUCUUGGUUUGCAGAUGUGUGACUCCAAUCUUUGUCUUCAUCAUCACAUGGCAUUCUCCCAUGAAGCUUUAAAGAAUUCUAAUGCUUCAAGGCCAUGUAUGAUGUGACAAGGAAGACUGAGAUGGAGACUAAAAAAAUAAGAGAAAGCAGGAAAAGAUGGGAAUUUGGAAGCCAAAGAAAAUUGCCUUCACCUACCAUUCUGGACUUCUUUUGCCUAAGCGCCCUUCUCUAGCUAUGCUGUGCUCUAACCAGGGGCCAUUCAUAGCUCACCAGACUCCAACUUCACACGGCCAUCUUCUUAUAAGGACAUCAGUCAUACUGAUUAAGGUCACACUCAAUUCCAAUAUGACUUCAUUUCACUUUAGCAGUUACAUCCUGCAAUGACCCUGUUUAGGAAUAAGGUCACAUUCUGAAGUAUCAAGGUUUAGGGCCUCAACAUAUCUUUUUGGGGGCUCAUAACUCAACCCAUAAAUGAAA